UACAGAGGGUGCGAACGUUGCUCGGAUUUACUGGGCGUAAAGCGCUUGUAGGCGGGCGAGUGUGUCGGGUGUGAAAUCCCUGGGCUUAACUCAGGAACUGCAUUCGAAACUACUUGUCUUGAGGAAUUGAGAGGAGAACGGAAUUCCCGGUGUAGAGGUGAAAUUCGUAGAUAUCGGGAGGAACACCAGAUGCGAAGGCGGUUCUCUGGAAAUUUUCUGACGCUGAGAAGCGAAAGCGUGGGGAGCAAACAGG
rnacentral:rRNA from 1 species